AUCGAACGCUGGCGGCGGGCCUAACACAUGCAAGUCGAGCGAGCGGCGGACGGGUGAGUAAUGGAUGGGGACCUGCCCGAUAGAGGGGGAAAACGAGGGGAAAAGGUGGCUAAAACCGCAUACUAUCGGAUGAACCCAUAGUGGAUUAGCUAGUAGGUGGGGUAAAGGCUCACCAAGGCGACGAUCUCUAGCUGGUCUGCGAGGGUGAUCAGCCACACUGGGACUGAGACACGGCCCAGACUCCUACGGGAGGCAGCAGUAGGGAAUAUUGCGCAAUGGGCGCAAGCCUGAUGCAGCCAUGCCGCGUGUAUGAAGAAGGCCUUCGGGUUGUAAAGUACUUUCGGCGGGGAGGCGUUACCCGCCGAAGAAGCCCCGGCUAACUCCGUGCCAGCAGCCGCGGUAAUAC
rnacentral:rRNA from 1 species